AUGAGCACUCAAAAUGAUAUUCUCCCUUGUUUUGCACAGAUAACGUUGGAUUCUAUUCUUGAAGAGAUUGGCGGGGAUGUUUUUAGUUUAUUGAUUAACGAGGCUUCAGAUGUGUCAGAUAAAGAACAGAUGGAUGUUGUCUUGAGAUAUGUUGACAAGCUUGGACUAAUCCUGGAACGUUUAGUUGGAGUUGUACAUGUGAAAGAAACAUCUGCAACGUGUCUCAAGUCAGCCCUUGAAAAAUUGCUUGCUGAUAUUGGAUUAAUCUUCAAACAAGUUAGAGGGCAAUGCUAUGAUGGUGCAAGCAACAUGCGCGGUGAGUUCAAUGUCUUGAAAGCCAAAAUUCUAGAAGAGAACAGGUCAGCAUAUUAUGUGCAUUGUUUUGCUCACCAACUUCAAUUGGUUAUAGUGGCAAUUUCAAAGAAGAAUGAAGAUAUUGCAGAUUUCUUUUAUAUGAUAUCUUUGUUGUUUAAUGUGGUCGGAGCUUCUUGCAAAAGAAAAUACAUGAUCAGAGAGAGUAACCGAGAAAAUGUAAAAAAAGCCAUAAGUAGUGGACGAAUUAGUACUGGUACAGGGCUAAAUCAAGACCAGUCACUUCAAAGGGCGGGAGACACUCGUUGGGGUUCUCACUAUAGAACCCUCUCAAGCUUAAUCCAGUUGUUCCCGUCAAUUGUUAGUGUCCUAAAUUAUGUAGCAAAAGAAGGCAAGAAGGAUUCCAAGAAAAGUGAAGCACGGGGCCUUCUAUCAUAUUUUGGAAUCUUUGAUUUUGUGUUCUAUUUGCACAUGAUGUUCCAUAUAUUAGGGAGUGCCAAUACUUUGUCACAUGCAUUGCAGCAAAAGGAUCAAGAUAUCUUGAAUGCCAUGUCAUGUGUGAACUCAACACGGAAUGAUCUACAACAACUAAGAGAUGAUGGAUGGGAAUCACUUCUAGAGAAGGUAUAUUCAUUCUGUGAAGAACAUGACAUUCCUAAGGUAAACAUGCAUGAUGAAUAUAUCGAUCGGCAUAAACUAAGAAAAAGAACCAAUAUUACAAACCUUCAUCAUUACCAAAUAGAGUGCCUUAAUUCUAUUAUUGAUUGGCAACUUCGAGAGUUCGAUGAUAGAUUCAAUGAAGUGAAUUCUGCAUUGCUUAUCGACAUGGCUUCUUUCAACCCAAAAAAUUCCUUCGCUGCUUUUAACUUGGAGAGUUUAUUGAAGCUAGCUGAGUUUUAUCCUGCUGAUUUCAAUUCAUCACAAUUGAUGGAUCUCGGUCAUGAACUUCGGAUUUUCAUUGACAAUGUUCGAGCGGACCAAAGAUUUGACAAUUUGGAUGGCAUUGCUGAUCUUGCUAAAGUGUUGGUGGAAACUAAAAAGUAUAUUGCUUUCCCUUUGGUGUAUCAACUUCUCAAGUUGGUGCUAAUUUUGCCAGUUGCCACAGCAUCAGUGGAGAGAUGCUUUUCAGCAAUGAAUAUCGUCAAGAGUGUUUUGCGAAACAAAAUGGGUGACGAGUUCAUGAGUGAUUGCCUGAUUUGCUAUGUGGAGAAAGACAUAUUUUCUACAAUAACGAAUGAUGAUGUUAUUGAUCUAUUUAAGAAGAUGAAAGAUCAAGAAGGGAAGUUAUAA
rnacentral:rRNA from 1 species